GUCUGCAUGGUGUAAUGGGAACACGCCCGGGGCCAGUAACAUCGUUACAAAGUAUGCUUCUACAGGCGAUGCGGGUUCGAUUCCCGCUGUGGAUG